rnacentral:rRNA from 1 species
UACGGGGGGGGCAAGCGUUGUCCGGAAUCAUUGGGCGUAAAGGGCGCGUAGGUGGCCCGGUCAGUCUUUGGUGAAAGCGCGGGGCUCAACCCUGCGUCGGCCAGGGAUACUGCCGCGGCUCGAGCACUGUAGAGGCAGGCGGAAUUCCGGGUGUAGCGGUGGAAUGCGUAGAGAUCCGGAAGAACACCGGUGGCGAAGGCGGCCUGCUGGGCAGUUUAGCUGACACUGAGGCGCGACAGCGUGGGGAGCAAACAGG